rnacentral:SRP_RNA from 1 species
GCCGGGGUGGCGGCAUGUGCCUGUAGUCCCAGCUACUUGGGAGGCUGAGGCUGGAAGAUUGCUUGAGUCCAGGAGUUCAGGGCUAUAGUGUGCUAUGCCAAUCAGGUGUCCGCACUAAGUUCGGCAUCAAUAUGGUGACCUCCCAGGAGCAGGGGAUCACCAGGUUGCUUAAGGAGGGGUGAACCAGCCCAGGUUGGAAACAGAGCAGGUCAAAACUCCCCUGCUCAUCAGUAGUGGGAUCGAAUCUGUGAAUAGCCACUGCACUCCAGCCUAGGCAACAUAGCAAGACCCCAUCUCU